rnacentral:piRNA from 1 species
UGACUCUACUCAACGCACAGCGUGUGCCUC